ensembl:misc_RNA 7SK 7SK RNA
GAUGGUUAGGUUGUGCUCUGGCUGCAAAAUCUGUCACUGCAUGAAAGCCAGGAUUGAUUCAUCUUAUCUGGCUGGCUAGGUGACUGGCCCCUUACAUUCUCAGCACCUCAUAUGCAUCCUUCCCAAAGGUGUACCCUUGGUCAAAGAGGAGGAUCUUCCCCAAGUGGAGGAGGACCAGUCUUUGCUCAAAAGUAUCCAUGUAGCUGUACCCCCAUGCUAGAAGCUCCAAACAAGAUCUUAAAGGUGUUUUCAUUGUGUGCCUUCUCAAAACCCUCAAUUUAAAGUUUUAUUGUGUGCCUUCACACAACCUUCAAUCUU